GCUGGGCAUGGUGGCGCGUGCCUGUAAUCCCAGCUACUCAGGAGGCUGAGGCAGGAGAAUCACUUGAACCCAGUAGGCAGAGGUUGCAGUGAGCCGAGAUUGCACCACUGCACUCCAGCCUGGGCAACAGAGUGAGACUCUGUCUCAA
rfam:Pan troglodytes isolate Yerkes chimp pedigree #C0471 (Clint) chromosome 1, whole genome shotgun sequence.